CUUGGUCAUUUAGAGGAAGUAAAAGUCGUAACAAGGUCUCCGUUGGUGAACCAGCGGAGGGAUCAUUACAGAGUUUACAACUCCCAAACCCAAAUGUGAACAUACCUACUGUUGCUUCGGCGUGCUCGCCCCGGCGUCCGGCUGGCCUCGUGCUGGUCGCGGCCCGGAACCAGGUGGCCGCCGGAGAAAACCAAAACUCUUUGUAUUAUCAGCUUCUUCCGAAUCCGCCGCAAGGCAAAACAAAUGAAUCAAAACUUUCAACAACGGAUCUCUUGGUUCUGGCAUCGAUGAAGAACGCAGCGAAAUGCGAUAAGUAAUGUGAAUUGCAGAAUUCAGUGAAUCAUCGAAUCUUUGAACGCACAUUGCGCCCGGGAGCAUUCUCCCGGGCAUGCCUGUUCGAGCGUCAUUUCAACCCUCGAUUUCCCUUUGGGGAAGUCGGCCGUUGGAGAUCGGCAGCACUGCCGGCUCCCAAAUACAGUGGCGACCCGCCGCGGGGACCCCUGCGUAGUAACUUACACUCGCACCGGAAACCAGACGUGUCACGCCGUAAAACCCCCAACUUUCUGAACGUUGACCUCGGAUCAGGUAGGAAUACCCGCUGAACUUAAGCAUAUCAAUAAGCGGAGGAAAAGAAACCAACAGGGAUUGCCCCAGUAACGGCGAGUGAAGCGGCAACAGCUCAAAUUUGAAAUCUGGCCCCUAGGGUCCGAGUUGUAAUUUGCAGAGGAUGCUUUUGGCGAGGCGCCUUCCGAGUUCCCUGGAACGGGACGCCAUAGAGGGUGAGAGCCCCGUCUGGUCGGAUGCCAAGCCUAUGUAAAGCUCCUUCGACGAGUCGAGUUGUUUGGGAAU
rnacentral:sRNA from 1 species